rnacentral:lncRNA from 1 species
UUGUUUAAGCAUCAGAAACAUUUAUUUUACAACAGCACAUCCGAUAAAUGACACCGGUCUUCUCUUUCAGACAGUAGAUGACCAUGCUAAAACAUACAUCCUAUCUUCUAUUUACUUCCACUGUAUGUACAGGAUAACUCAACCAUUCAUUCUAAAUGACCACACACCUAGUUACAUACCAUUUAAGCUAUAUAUUCAUUUAUUAAAAAGAUACAAAAUAAAAUAAUGCUUCAUUAUUAUCUUACCACUAUAUAUUUGCACUAAUAUUUCUUGUUGGUUUUUAAAAAAAGUUUCUAAACACAAUGUUGUUUCUUGAUCCGGUAGAACUUCGUUUUGUACACACAUUGCAUUCUCUCCGACAAGUUGAAUGUAUUUCAACACCUCAAAAGAGGAGAAGGAAACCACAGCAAGGAUUUUCAUUUGUCAACGUCUUCAUAUUAACAGAUAUUCUGAUAAUACAACCAAAUCAAAUCAAAAUGAGUGAGUAGUGGGCAGGCCAAUUAACUACAACCAAUUAAAAAUGUUUGACUUGAUAAUUGAACCUUCUUAGAAAAGAAAAGGAGGGAAUAUAAAGGAAGACAGAUUUUGCUCUUUCUUACACUGGAGCUCAACAAAAUGGAGGCUGGUCCCAGACCUGUUUGUGCUCUUGCCAACCCCAUUAAUAUCCUUUUCAAGCCAAGUGCCAAUGAGUGACAAGGAGUUGGUAUGAUAGCACAAACAGACUGGCACUCAGGUUAGGACAAAAUGACAAGUGGAUCAUUUUUUUUUUUAGAUUGACACUGAAAACUCAAGAGUAAAAACACAGCCUGCUAACAUGAGGUAAAACAAGAUCUAACAACAAUAUAUAUAUAUAUAUAUAAACAAUCUAAAAACACAAAUGAGAUUCAUCAACACAUUACAUCACAUAUACAACCACCAUGCUGCUCAAAGAUGAUUGGCUAGCGAGUCUGAGUGACUACUGAGGGUGUUGGAACACCUAGAACCAUCGUGAUGCCGCUGCUGCUUCUUCAUUGUAGUAAACUGGUCUUUUAGUAUGUAUCCCAAAUGGCACCCUAUUCCCUAUAUAGUGCACUACUUUUGACCAGGUCCCAUUGUGGUAGGGCUCUGGUUUAAAAAAAAGAAAAAGGAAAAAAAAUAAGUGUCCCCUACAUAAGGACUAUGAUGCCAUCUGGGAUUACAAGCCAUACUCUCAUAUUCAGUCUGACUAAAUACAGAAAUGUAGCCAACAGGCAUAACCACCACUUUGGAUAUAUAAAAUGUUAUUAUCGUAUCCGACAACAUAAAUAAGAAACAAUACAAUCUAUUGCAGAAAAAAAAAACACACAAAAAAAAAAAAUCUACUUUUUUUGUUUGUUGCAAAACUCAAAUAUACACAACUUAAUAAAAACUCAACCAAUACAUUUCUCAUUACUUCCUCAAAGACAAAUCUAAAACCAAGAGUUGAAUAGAUUGGUGGUAAUAGGUAUAUAGAGGGAGACGUUCUGAGCACUUUUACCCACUAACACUGAACUCUGACCUCCUAGCACAAGCAUUCAUACACAUGUACGCAGUAUUACGCACGCACAUGUAACAGUUUAGCUUCCGUCCCUCUCCUCGCCCCGACCUGGGCUCGAACCAGGGACCCUCUGCACACAUCAACAACUGACACCCCACGAAGCAUCGUUACCCAUCGCGUUACCCACCCAUUGCAGAGCAAGGGGAACAUCUACUUCAAGGUCUCAGAGAGAGAGUGACGUCACCGAUUUGAAACGCUAUUAGCGAGCACCACCGCUAACUAGCUAGCCAUUUCACAACGGUUACACUCACACAGAGCUGCUAAGAGACUAAUUUAAAUGAUGUUAGUAAAUCCUUCAGAGCUCAAAUUAAUGUCGAGUUUCAGUACGGACAAACAAGACUGGAUUGGACAGAGAGGAGGAGGGUAGUUAACACAGAGGGUAGUAGUAUUGGAGAGAACACAACAGAGAGCAAGAGGAGAACGACGAUGAAGAAGAGGAGAAAAUGGAGGAAGAGGGAAAGCAUCCACAUGAUGACACUGAAUAAAAUAGAGAUAUUUUUCUAUUAAAAACUAAUGGAAAUCAUUCUGGCUUAAAAGACACUGUCCAUAUUAUACGGCAGGGAUCCUCAACGAGAUUUCAGCUGCAGGUUCAGAUUUUAUUUUCUUGAGCAGAUGGUCAGGGUGCAAGAACAUAAUUACAAAUUAUUUGUACAGAUAUAAUAAUUGACUAUAAAACAUAAUUAUUUCAAACCUGGGUUACAUUUGUAUUAAGAUCACAUGUCAACCGCCAGUUGGUGGAACCCUGCUAUACCGUAUCCAUGGUAACAGUCUAGGUAGGUUUAGGUGUAAUCAGUGUCAGAACCCUGCUAUACCGUAUCCAUGGUAACAAUCUAGGUAGGUCUAGGUGCAAUCAGUGUUUACCCUUCAUUAAAACACACAUCUUUCAUAGUGUGGUCCCCUGCUCCCUUUCUAUCUAGUCACAUGCUUCUCAUAUUUCACUACGAUCAAAACUCCCAGGAACAACGCAACAAAGGAAAACAAAAAUCUGUAAGCAGCGCAAGUGUUUAGUCCAUAAGCAGAGUACCAUGUGCCUUUAUCAGUACACGAUUAGGGAGGCAAAUAGUUCACACUCUCUACAGUACACAACGAUAAACUAAAUCAACCUUCUUUGUGGGUUUGUGUGUGUGUGUUUCCGUAUAAGACAACCUGUUGACAUGGUAGCUGUGGACCUACGGACCGUGACAAGUCGUAACACGGACAUCUUGUUGCUGCCCGAGGAGGGGACAGUGUCAAAACAUCAACAGCAGUCAAAUCAUGGUCCAAACAGAAUGGUAGAACAUGGCUCAGAAGUCAGGAAGAAUAUCAGGUCCACUUCUCUAAAUUUAAAAAGUGAGGUUGAUCAAGCCCCUGAUGGACAGGUGGUCCAGUGUUAAUGAAAUGUGACUGUUAGUUAUAGUCUCUACACAGUCUAAACUCAUGCAAUAUAUACUUAACAAAAAUAUAAAACGCAACAUGUAAAGUGUUGGUCCCAUGUUUCAUGAGCUGAAAUAAAAACAUCCCAGAAAUGUUCCAUACGCACAAAAAGCUUAUUUCUCUCAAAUUUUAUGCACAAAUUUGUUUACAUCCCUGUUAGUGAGCAUUUCUCCUUUGCCAAGAUAAUCCAUCCACCUGACAGGUGUGGCAUAUCAAGAAGCGGAUUAAACAGCAUGAUCAUUACACAGGUGCACCUUGUGCUGGAGACAAUAGAAGUCCACUCUAAAAAUGUGCAGUUUUGUCACACAACACAAUGCCACAGAUGUCUCAAGUUGAAGGAGCAUGCAAUUGGCAUGCUGCCUGAAUGUUCACCAGAGCUGUUGCCAGAUAAUCGAAUGUUAAUUUCUCUACCAUAAGCCGCCUACGUUGUUUUAGAGAAUUUGGCAGUACGUCGAACCGGCCUCACAACAGCAGACCACAUGUAUGGCGUCGCGUGGUUUGCUGAUGUCAACGUUGUGAACAGAGUGCCCCAUGGUGGUGGUGGGGUUAUAGUAUGGGUAUAAGCUACGGACAACGAACACAAUUGCAUUUUAAUCGAUGCCAAUUUGAAUGUAGAGAAAUGCUGUGACAAGCUCCUGAGGUAUCUGUGACCAACAGAUGCAUAUCUGUAUUCCCAGUCAUGUGAAAUUCAUAGAUUAGGGCCUAAUUAAUUUAUUUCAAUUAACC